rnacentral:rRNA from 1 species
ACAGCAGUCGCCGCGGUAAUACGUAGGGCGCAAGCGUUAUCCGGAAUUAUUGGGCGUAAAGAGCUCGUAGGCGGUUUGUCGCGUCUGCCGUGAAAGUCCGGGGCUCAACCCCGGAUCUGCGGUGGGUACGGGCAGACUAGAGUGAUGUAGGGGAGACUGGAAUUCCUGGUGUAGCGGUGAAAUGCGCAGAUAUCAGGAGGAACACCGAUGGCGAAGGCAGGUCUCUGGGCAUUAACUGACGCUGAGGAGCGAAAGCAUGGGGAGCGAACAGGAUUAGAUACCCCUGUAGUCCCUGUCUCUUAUAA